AAAAUGUACUAUUUGUGGUCUAAAGAGGACCCCUGGACUGGAGCCAAUGUAUUUUUGAAGAAGUUUCCACUUGAUCCAGAUCGGUGUCAUUCUUGGGUCAAAGCAGUUGGGAAUGAAGACUGCUUACAUACCUGUUAAAAAAUUGCAUGAAAUUAAAUAUUUGUGUGGAUAUCACUUUGAAAAAAAGUAUUUUAAUACAAAGGGC
rnacentral:misc_RNA from 1 species